ensembl:snoRNA U8 U8 small nucleolar RNA
UCCUCAACUAGGCUAAUCCUUACUUGUCCUCUUUUUGGAGGGCAAAUAGAAUCUGGUGAUUCUGUCCCUGUAUCUGUGUAACCAGAACCCACAGCAUCUUGAUUGUUAUUUAUGGGUCUGAA